UAAGUUGGUACCUCCGUACGCUUACGUGACAUCCUUAUUGAUAGAAGAGGUGUUCCCGAUUCCAUCUAGCUGCUUUUGCAGUAAGCGGGCAAUCAUACACCGCUGACACAACGGCGUGGGCUCUGUUUUCCUCCUGCUCAGUCACUGACGGUCGCCAUAUAAAGCAACGCCACUCGAAAGUGAGCUUAAACCAUUCCGAUCG
rnacentral:lncRNA from 1 species